AUGACGUCAUGGCCGGCGAAGGCCUUGGCUGCGGUGGAAGGUUUGGGAGCGGUCGCGCCGCCAUUUUGCUGCACAUUCAGUGAAGAACCUGCCCCAGACUGUUCCAUACCUCCACGGGAUGCAGACAGCCCAUACCAAGCAACCAUGGGGAGCCUGGGGGUCACUGUGGCCAGAGUUAAGUCAGCAGCCCAUUUCUUUCCCUGUCGCUGGAGGCAUUUGAGGCCAGGCUGGAUGUGGCUCUGGGCAGCCUGGCCUGGUGUUUGGCGACCCUGCACAUAGCAGGGUGGUUGAAACUUGAUCAUUGUGGUCCUUUUCAACCCAGGCCAUUCUAUGAUUCCAUGAUUCUUUUCCAGUCAGGCUGCUGUUCAUACUCUCUUAUGCUGGAAGAGAGAUGGCUUUUUCCUUGUCUUUUUUUCCGUUUUUUAUUUUGAGAGUUUGCUCCAUCUCUUUGCUAAUUUAAUGAAAAUGUUACAUAAAUAAAGUGCAGCUUUGCUUCACUAAGCAGAGGAAUGGAACAGCAUUUUGCUUGAGUUGUAUUCAAGAUCGAAAUUAGUGCUCAACAGGCAGCACUGGACUGCACAGUCAGCAAUUUUAGAGAGCUGGAGGAGUAAGGAUCUUUUUUCCCUUGGACUGUAAGAAAAGGCCGUACAGAUGAAGCUAUCAAUGCAAAUGAUAGCUAACCUUGCCAGCCAGUAGCUCCUCUUCUGUAGUAAUUCACUGGUCCUAUGUCCAUGGCCAUUUAGCCUGUGCAACAUGUUGCAUGUAGGGCUGGCCUGGUUUGACUUCAGUGUGCAAACAGUUCCUUAGGGUGACACUCUGUUCUAUCAGGCAAGGUUUUAACUGCUUGUUUGCCCAAUGUGAGCAGAAAAAAACAAAACCCUUAUUUAAGAUUGGGACAUAAAAAAAUUCUUUCUCCAAACUGGACAUUGUGGCCACACCAUAAUGUCGUGUUACCUUAUUUCUUGAUCCUAGUUACUGGUUUCAGGGAAGAUAAAGCCAUCUUGCUCCUAACAAAGUCAAUGAGAUUAGGUGCAAGUCCCAUUUUUUUCUCACUCGAGCUAAAAUGCCAUGUGCUUAUUGAAAUGUGACCAACGUUAGGUCUUUUCACGUCUGUAAAUUUGAACUUGACUUUUUAACGUGUUUUAAAUAAAGUUGCUUC
rnacentral:lncRNA from 1 species